AUGUUCAAGCUGGUGGUGUUGUCUUGCAUCGUGGCCGCGGCCUCAGCCGGCGUGCUGGCACCCCGCGCCCCUGGCCUACACCGCGCCCAUCGCCUACAGCGCGCCCAUCCUGGCGCCCUACGGCAACCAGGGCGCUGCUCGCUCCCGGCCAGCCCGCCAACAUCCUCGCCGCCGACGGCAGGCCGCUGGACACCCUGGACGUGAACUUGGACCGCUCUGCUCACCUCACCGCCAAGGCGCUCGAGGGUGGCGUGCACCUGCUCAAGAAACGCUCGGCUCCCUGAUCGCGCCCAUCAGCCGCGUGGCGGUGGCUGCUCCCUGAUCCACAGCGCGCCGCUCGCCUACUCCGCGCCUCUCAUCGGCUCGCGCCUGGCUGUGUCCCCUCGCCUACUCUGGAGCGCACAUCGCUUACGCUGGCUGGUAGAUGUUCGUUAAACUGGACCGAUUAAAAUAAAGCUGAUUGUCGAGAAAAAAA